rnacentral:rRNA from 1 species
UCCUACGGGGGGCAGCAGUGGGGAAUAUUGCACAAUGGGGGAAACCCUGAUGCAGCGACGCCGCAUGAGCGAAGGAGUAUUUCGGUAUGUAAAGCUCUAUCAGUAGGGAAGAAGAAAGACGGUACCUGACUAAGAAGCCCCGGCUAACUACGUGCCAGCAGCCGCGGUAAUACGUAGGGGGCAAGCGUUAUCCGGAUUUACUGGGUGUAAAGGGAGCGUAGACGGCUGUGCAAGUCUGAAGUGAAAGCCCGUGGCUCAACCGCGGAACUGCUUUGGAAACUGUAUGGCUUGAGUACUGGAGAGGC